ensembl:lncRNA
UUUUUUUUUUUUUUUUUUAAGGUAGAUCACUGUUAUUGCAUGUUCCUAUGACGUCUGCAGUAAAUGCUUUUUUAAGAAGAAGAAAAAACAGUUGCAAAAGUUUUCGUCAUCUUCAGUGGACAUCUUGGGAGUUGGGACUUUCCAUUGCUUGGUUUUUAUGUUUAUUUAUAUUUGUAUAUAAAUUAUAAAAGCAAACAACUUGAUCCAUAUUCCAGUUUUGCAAAAUGGAUAAUUUAGAUUAUUUGUCCAAUUUUAUGAUGAAUUUGCUUGAUGAGUUGUCACAGAUUAACGAUUAGCUGUCUAUAUUUUCUUCACCAUUAAAGUGUGGCCUGGCUGUCAUUUUACUAUAAAAUUUUUGAUAACUGCUCGGUAUAAAAUUAUUUCACAUUGUUGUUGGUAGUAGACGUGUAAGCUUUUAAACGUUUUAAGCUUUUAACUUGAUUGUGUAGGUUUUAUGCAGUUAAAUAGUGUUUAACUUGACUGCCAAGCCAUUAACGUUAGCUAAUGACACGUUUUUGUUCGAUUUAAGAUGGUGUAAUGAAGUAUUUUUUGUUGAUAACUGCUUGGUAUAUAAUUCUUUUACAUUGUUGUUGGUAGUAGACAUGUAAGCUUUUAAACGUUUUAAGCUUUUAACUUGAUUGUGUAGGUUUUAUGCAGUGCACAUGCUUUAUUGUUGUGCAUUUAUUAGCUUGUGAAGUUUAUAUUUUUUUUUAAAGUUGAAAAUGUUUAUCUGUCACUUUUGUAAUAAUGAGAGCAGUACAAUCCUGAGUUUUGUGCAGCAUGUGAAAUUGCAUAGAAAUGUGCCUAAAUUAGGUUUUAGAUGUGCUGUACCUGAUUGCCCACAUAUUUUCACUAAGUUUUCUUCAUUGAAGUCCCACAUAUACAGAAAUCACAGGGAACAUCACCAGUCUGCUGCUAAAGAUCAUCAGGCACAGAUGUGUGAUAAAACAUUUAAAUGCCAUGUAGACUUUUGUGAAGUUCAAUGUGGGACCCUAACACAGCUCUUGUCUCAUUUAAAGAGCCUAAUUCAGUCAGGUCUGGAGAUCCGGUGCCCAUUUGGUUGCAACAGGACAUUUAAGUUUCAGAUGUCGUAG